AUGGCUUCUUCUACAUCGAUCUGUCAUCUCUUUGCAGCGCCUCAACUUCAGUCGUUUUCAGAUUCCUACGAUCUUCUAUUGCCUCUGUUCAUACUGCCUCUCUGUCCGCUUAGCGAUUUUGCAUUUCGACCCUGUAUUAGCUUUGUUCUACCUCAAUUCGCCUCUUACUCCAUCUUUAACUCAAUGCCAUGGAGUUCAAAUGUGACACGUAACUCAAAACUAAACGCGGAUCACAGAGUUCUACAUUAUCUCGAUAAGAAACAAAUGCAGAUGCAAAAAGAAAGGAUAGUUCGAGGCUUAUCGAUCGAAGACACUCCGAUGGCGCUUAGAAGAUGCUAA